rnacentral:rRNA from 1 species
UACGUAGGGUGCGAGCGUUGUCCGGAAUUAUUGGGCGUAAAGAGCUCGUAGGCGGUUUGUUGCGUCGGCUGUGAAAACCUGCAGCUUAACUGCGGGCCUGCGGCGGAUACGGGCAGACUUGAGUUCGGUAGGGGAGACUGGAAUUCCUGGUGUAGCGGUGAAAUGCGCAGAUAUCAGGAGGAACACCGGUGGCGAAGGCGGGUCUCUGGGCCGAUACUGACGCUGAGGAGCGAAAGCGUGGGGAGCGAACAGG